ACCAUCACUUUCUAAGGUUAUUCCUCCAAAAUUCAAAUAUUCUGUGUUUGGCUUUGUAUAAGUUUAUGUUUCUUAAUAUUUAUAACUGUCUCUCAGUUAUAUAAUAAUUAAAAUCAUUAUGUCAAAUUUUAAGUUAACCUAAAUUCAUAAAAACUAAUUAGACAGAAGUGAUUGUGUAUUCAUAACUACCACCACCCACCUUUUGAGACCACCACAUGUUUGUAAAAAUGCCAUCACUUAUCUUGGCUCAAUGCUAAACACCACCACACAAUAAUAUAUCACCUGUUUCUCUACCAAACUCC
rnacentral:lncRNA from 1 species